AUUGAACGCUGGCGGCAGGCCUAACACAUGCAAGUCGAGCGGAUGCAGGGAGCUUGCUUCUGGAUUCAGCGGCGGACGGGUGUGUAAUGCCUAGGAAUCUGCCUGGUAGUGGGGGAUAACGUCCGGAAACGGGCGCUAAUACCGCAUACGUCCUGUGGGAGAAAGUGGGGGAUCUUCGGACCUCACGCUAUCAGAUGAGCCUAGGUCGGAUUAGCUAGUUGGUGGGGUAAAGGCCUACCAAGGCGACGAUCCGUAACUGGUCUGAGAGGAUGAUCAGUCACACUGGAACUGAAACACGGUGCAGACUCCUACGGGAGGCAGCAGUGAGGAAUAUUGGACAAUGGGCGAAAGCCUGAUCCAGCCAUGCCGCGUGUGUGAAGAAGGUCUUCGGAUUGUAAAGCACUUUAAGUUGGGAGGAAGGGCAGUAAGUUAAUACCUUGCUGUUUUGACGUUACCAACAGAAUAAGCAACGGCUAACUUCGUG
rnacentral:rRNA from 1 species